CCUAUAUGAAGUCGGAAUUGCUAGUAAUCGCGGAUCAGCAUGCCGCGGUGAAUACGCUCCCGGGCCUUGUACACACCGCCCGUCACACCAUGAGAGUCGAUAACACCCGAAGCCUGUAGUCUAACCUUAGGGGGACGCAGUCGAAGGUGGGAUUGAUAAUUAGGGUGAAGUCGUAACAAGGUAUC
rnacentral:rRNA from 1 species